rnacentral:lncRNA from 1 species
ACCACAAGUAGGAGCUAAUGAAUAGGCCUGCGAUUCCGUAGAAAGACAUCACGACCCCCUGCGGAAAAAAAAGAAUUUCUUGAGAUGGAAGUAUAGAUAUAAUAUUCUUACCAAGAUAACUGGAAAUCCCAACCGAUAAGAAUCCUAGUGAACCUAGAAAAAGCAUACAGGCCCAGAAAAAAUUACCCCUUUUUCGAGAACCUUUUAGAAGUUCUACCCAUAUGUGUUCUGAUCGCCAAUUCAUAUUAGAUAUACUAAAUCCAGCAGCGGUCGAUUGAAAUUGAGAGAAUAAGCUAAAUAAUUUUGACUUUACUUUUUUUGAUUCUGAAAUCGCCUUCAGCAACUAGUACUCCUGUGAAAUAAUAGGUUAGAUACAUUGACUUUCUAUUCAAAAAAUAUUCGUUGAUUCAAUUAAAAUAAAUAAAAUAAAACUCGCUAUACCUGGCUCUGCAUAUUCAUGCAUUUAUGCUCGUAGCCUAUAUCCGCAUCCAUAACCGUUUUUCAUUUGUGUGUAGAAAGUGUGUGUAGAAAAAGCCACAUACCCUACCAUAUUAUAUUACUUACACUAAAAAAUACAAUACAAUAGUCAAUAUUCCUUAUAAUAGAUAUACUUAAUUAUAUCAUAAGAAUCUUAAGAUAUUUUUCGACUAGAUAGAAAUAGUAAAUUUGAAUUGAGACACCUAUUCCAUGACGGAUUUAAACUUACCUUCUAUUUUCGUGCCUUUAGUAGGCUUAGUAUUUCCGGCAAUUGCAAUGACUUCUUUAUUUCUUUAUGUGCAAAAAAAUAAGAUUGUCUAGUAUUUUUUAGUGUAUGUAAUAUAAUAUGGUAGGGUAUGUGGCUUUUUCUACACACACUUUCUACACACAAAUGAAAAACGGUUAUGGAUGCGGAUAUAGGCUACGAGCAUAAAUGCAUGAAUAUGCAGAGCCAGGUAUAGCGAGUUUUAUUUUAUUUAUUUUAAUUGAAUCAACGAAUAUUUUUUGAAUAGAAAGUCAAUGUAUCUAACCUAUUAUUUCACAGGAGUACUAGUUGCUGAAGGCGAUUUCAGAAUCAAAAAAAGUAAAGUCAAAAUUAUUUAGCUUAUUCUCUCAAUUUCAAUCGACCGCUGCUGGAUUUAGUAUAUCUAAUAUGAAUUGGCGAUCAGAACACAUAUGGGUAGAACUUCUAAAAGGUUCUCGAAAAAGGGGUAAUUUUUUCUGGGCCUGUAUUCUUUUUCUAGGUUCACUAGGAUUCUUAUCGGUUUGGAUUUCCAGUUAUCUUGGUAAGAAUAUUAUAUCUAUACUUCCAUCUCAAGAAAUUCUUUUUUUUCCGCAGGGGGUCGUGAUGUCUUUCUACGGAAUCGCAGGCCUAUUCAUUAGCUCCUACUUGUGGUGUACUAUUUUGUGGAAUGUAGGUAGUGGUUAUGACCGAUUCGAUAGAAAAGAGGGAAUAGUGUGCAUUUUUCGUUGGGGAUUCCCUGGAAUAAAACGUCGCGUCUUCCUUCGAUUCCUUAUGCGGGAUAUCCAAUCAAUUAGAAUUCAGGUUAAAGAGGGUCUUUAUCCUCGUCGUAUUCUUUAUAUGGAAAUCCGGGGCCAGGGGAUCAUUCCCUUGACUCGUACUGAUGAUAAAUUUUUUACUCCACGAGAAAUUGAACAAAAAGCUGCCGAAUUGGCCUAUUUCUUGCGCGUACCAAUUGAAGUAUUUUUUUUGAACUGAGUUGAAUGAAGAAAAGAAGAAUUGGAAGAAGAAAAGUUUUCUCAACACGGGGAGGAAGUCCCUUCUAAAUUGGAUUUGUUAUUGUAAGGGGAUUUUUAAGUAUUUAUCUAAAGGAAGGAACAAACGAGGAUAAGAGAAAUUUGCUUUUAAUUUUUUUUUAUCCAAGUGAGAUAUAUCGCAUACUAUUCUUCCUUUUUCAUCCGAAAGGGCUUUUUUUUUAUUCUAUUUCACUAUUUCAUUCCAUCUAGAUCUAAGAAAGAACCCAAUGCACUGAAAUUCCACUAAUAACUAAUAUACAAAAAAGAAGAAUAGAUACAGGGUAUCAAACCUAUAGAGAUUUUGCUUCAAAGAAAUAGAAAUAUCAUCAUAUAGAGUCAGGGAAUGGAAUAGAGUCAGCGAAUGAAGCAUAUUCAUUAACAACUCCAUUUACAGAUCAAAAAUGAAAAAAAAGAAAGCAUUGCCUUCUUUACUAUAUCUUGUAUUUAUCGUACUUUUGCCUUGGGGGGUCUCUUCCUCAUUUAACAAAUGUCUGGAACUUUGGAUUAAGAAUUGGUGGAAUACCAGGCAAUCCGAAACUCUCUUAACUGAUAUUCAAGAGAAAAGGAUUCUAGAAAGAUUCAUAGAAUUAGAAGAACUUUCUCUCUUGGACGAGAUGAUAAAAGGGAAACUAAAGACCCAAAAUUUCAAACAUGUAUCUAGAAUUACUGGAAAACUACAAACAAAAAUAGUGAAAAUAAGCUCGUUAGGAGCCCAUCCAAAAUCGUUGUAGACCCAACGAAUUACUAGUUCCCAACCACGGGUGGAGUGAAAUCCAACAAAAAAAUCAGUAACUAAAAGAAUAAAAAAAGCUUUUAUUGAGUCAUUUAAAUUAUAGAAGAAUUCCUGAACCCAAGAAUUCAAAAUGACAAGUUCCUCUUUACCCAGAAAAAAAGAACCACUUAGAAUAGCCAAACAGAUUAUAUUUGUCGAGAAAUGCAAAAUGGUAUGGAGAUGAUCCUCAUUAUUUAUUUUGACCCAUUGUAUUAUUUCCUUGUGUAUUCCUGUAGGAGGUUUUUGUACAUGUGUCUUUAGUUUCCCUUUUAUCAUCUCGUCCAAGAGAGAAAGUUCUUCUAAUUCUAUGAAUCUUUCUAGAAUCCUUUUCUCUUGAAUAUCAGUUAAGAGAGUUUCGGAUUGCCUGGUAUUCCACCAAUACUUAAUCCAAAGUUCCAGACAUUUGUUAAAUGAGGAAGAGACCCCCCAAGGCAAAAGUACGAUAAAUACAAGAUAUAGUAAAGAAGGCAAUGCUUUCUUUUUUUUCAUUUUUGAUCUGUAAAUGGAGUUGUUAAUGAAUAUGCUUCAUUCGCUGACUCUAUUCCAUUCCCUGACUCUAUAUGAUGAUAUUUCUAUUUCAUGAUAUUUCUAUUUCUUUGAAGCAAAAACUCUAUAGGUUUGAUACCCUGUAUCUAUUCUUCUUUUUUGUAUAUUAGUUAUUAGUGGAAUUUCAGUGCAUUGGGUUCUUUCUUAGAUCUAGAUGGAAUGAAAUAGUGAAAUAGAAUAAAAAAAAAGCCCUUUCGGAUGAAAAAGGAAGAAUAGUAUGCGAUAUAUCUCAAUUGGAUAAAAAAAAAUUAAAAGCAAAUUUCUCUUAUCCUCGUUUGUUCCUUCCUUUAGAUAAAUACUUAAAAAUCCCCUUACAAUAACAAAUCCAAUUUAGAAGGGACUUCCUCCCCGUGUUGAGAAAACUUUUCUUCUUCCAAUUCUUCUUUUCUUCAUUCAACUCAGUUCAAAAAAGAUACCUCAAAAUACUUCAAUUGGUACGCGCAAGAAAUAGGCCAAUUCGGCAGCUUUUUGUUCAAUUUCUCGUGGAGUAAAAAAUUUAUCAUCAGUACGAGUCAAGGGAAUGAUCCCCUGGCCCCGGAUUUCCAUAUAAAGAAUACGACGAGGAUAAAGACCCUCUUUAACCUGAAUUCUAAUUGAUUGGAUAUCCCGCAUAAAGAAUCGAAGGAAGACGCGACGUUUUAUUCCAGGGAAUCCCCAACGAAAAAUGCACACUAUUCCCUCUUUUCUAUCGAAUCGGUCAUAACCACUACCUACAUUCCACAAAAUAGUACACCACAAGUAGGAGCUAAUGAAUAGGCCUGCGAUUCCGUAGAAAGACAUCACGACCCCCUGCGGAAAAAAAAGAAUUUCUUGAGAUGGAAGUAUAGAUAUAAUAUUCUUACCAAGAUAACUGGAAAUCCCAACCGAUAAGAAUCCUAGUGAACCUAGAAAAAGAAUACAGGCCCAGAAAAAAUUACCCCUUUUUCGAGAACCUUUUAGAAGUUCUACCCAUAUGUGUUCUGAUCGCCAAUUCAUAUUAGAUAUACUAAAUCCAGCAGCGGUCGAUUGAAAUUGAGAGAAUAAGCUAAAUAAUUUUGACUUUACUUUUUUUUAUUCUGAAAUCGCCUUCAGCAACUAGUACUCCUGUGAAAUAAUAGGUUAGAUACAUUGACUUUCUAUUCAAAAAAUAUUCGUUGAUUCAAUUAAAAUAAAUAAAAUAAAACUCGCUAUACCUGGCUCUGCAUAUUCAUGCAUUUAUGCUCGUAGCCUGUAUACGCAUCCAUAACCGUUUUUCAUUUGUGUUAGAAAGUGUGUGUAGAAAAAGCCACAUACCCUACCAUAUUAUAUUACUUACACUAAAAAAUACUAG